UAAGGAAUAUUGGUCAAUGGACGCAAGUCUGAACCAGCCAUGCCGCGUGGAGGAUGAAGGUCCUCUGGAUUGUAAACUUCUUUUAUCUGAGAAGAAACCCUUGAAUUCUUUCGAGGUUGACGGUACCAGAUGAAUAAGCACCGGCUAACUCCGUGCCAGCAGCCGCGGUAAUACGGAGGGUGCAAGCGUUAUCCGGAUUCACUGGGUUUAAAGGGUGCGUAGGUGGGCUGGUAAGUCCGUGGUGAAAUCUCCGAGCUUAACUCGGAAACUGCCGUGGAUACUAUCAGUCUUGAAUAUCGUGGAGGUAAGCGGAAUAUGUCAUGUAGCGGUGAAAUGCUUAGAUAUGACAUAGAACACCGAUAGCGGAGGCAGCUUGCUACGCGAUUAUUGACACUGAGGCACGAAAGCGUGGGGAUCAAACAG
rnacentral:rRNA from 1 species